CGCCUGUUUACCAAAAACAUCACCUCCAGCAUCCCUAGUAUUGGAGGCACUGCCUGCCCAGUGACUAAACGUUAAACGGCCGCGGUAUUCUGACCGUGCAAAGGUAGCAUAAUCAUUUGUUCUCUAAAUAAGGACUUGUAUGAAUGGCCACACGAGGGUUUUACUGUCUCUUACUUCCAAUCAGUGAAAUUGACCUCCCCGUGAAGAGGCGGGGAUAAAUCAACAAGACGAGAAGACCCUAUGGAGCUUUAACUAAGUAACUCAAGGAAAAUAAAUUCAACCACCAAGGGAUAACAACACUCCUUAUGAGUUAACAGUUUCGGUUGGGGUGACCUCGGAGAACAGAAAAUCCUCCGAGCGAUUUUAAAGACUAGACUAACAAGUCAAACCAAACCAUCGCUUAUUGAUCCAAAAACUUGAUCAACGGAACAAGUUACCCUAGGGAUAACAGCGCAAUCCUAUUCAAGAGUCCAUAUCGACAAUAGGGUUUACGACCUCGAUGUUGGAUCAGGACACCCCGAUGGUGCAACCGCUAUCAAAGGUUCGUUUGUUCAACGAUUAAAGUCCUACGUGAUCUGAGUUCAGACCGG
rnacentral:rRNA from 1 species